rnacentral:rRNA from 1 species
AAUCAACGCUGGCGGCGUGCCUAACACAUGCAAGUCGAACGAGAAAGGGGCUUCGGCUCCGAGUAAAGUGGCGGACGGGUGAGUAACACGUGGGUGAUCUGCCCUCCAGUGGGGGAUAACAUACCGAAAGGUGUGCUAAUACCGCAUGGAGUUCCGGUUGUCGCGAUCGGAAUGAAAGCAGAAAUGCGCUGGAGGAGGAGCCCGCGUCGGAUUAGCUAGUUGGUGGGGUGACGGCCCACCAAGGCUACGAUCCGUAGCCGGCCUGAGAGGGCGACCGGCCACACUGGAACUGAGACACGGUCCAGACUCCUACGGGAGGCAGCAGUGGGGAAUUUUGCGCAAUGGGGGAAACCCUGACGCAGCAACGCCGCGUGGACGAUGAAGGCCUUUGGGUCGUAAAGUCCUGUCAGCAGGGAAAAACACAAUGAUGGUACCUGCAGAGGAAGCUCCGGCUAACUUCGUGCCAGCCGCCGCGGUAACAC